GCCAGUGUGGUGUAGUGGUGUGAGUGCUGGACUACAGCUCUGGAGGUCUGGGUUCGAAUCCCUGUUUGAUCA